rnacentral:lncRNA from 1 species
CUGGCAGGCUGAUAAAGUGUUCUAGUGAAUAAGAGAAAAACAUGACAGGCUCACACAAUCUUUUCAAUUAGGUAGCACUCAAUAGCUCUGCUUCUCAGAAAGAAAGCCCUAAAACCCGUGACCACCAAGCUCCCUUAACUCACAAGCACCCUAAGCUCUGAAGACGCCACAUCGAACCGCCUACGAUUCCAUCCCCGUUGUCUACGUGAACUGCACAAACGUAACGUGUUUCAGUCAUAAAUUUAUCAUGAUAUUCCCUCACUACUGUGUCGGUCAUAAGGAAACUGAUACUGUUUCCACCAGAGUCUGUUAGAAGAGGAACCUGUUGGCCCCCACCUCCGCCAAGGUCCUGGAGGGCAGACCCUGGGCCAUCUCGGGGCCACUCAAAAGGGCACAGUGGGGUUUGAACACUGACCUAAAUUCAUUUCCAAAAUCCUGUUCUUUUAAAAUUUCUAGACUUCCCCAAACUUCAGUGAUUGUCCCUGCACAAGGGAGACUCUUCUUAUCCCCCUCAAAGGACUGUAAGGGUUAAACAUCACUUAGUACAAACGAUCCUCCUCAAAGGACUGUAAGGGUUAAACCUCACUUAGUACACACGAUUCUUCUCAAAGGACUGGAAGGGUUAAACCUCACUUAGUACACACGAUCCUCCUCAAAGGACUGUAAGGUUAAACCUCACUUAGUACACACGAUUCUUCUCAAAGGACUGUAAGGGUUAAACCUCACUGAGUACACAUGAUCCUCCUCAAAGGACUGUAAGGGUUAAACCUCACUUAGUACACACCAUCCUUCUCAAAGGACUGUAAGG